UACGUAGGGGGCAAGCGUUGUCCGGAAUCAUUGGGCGUAAAGAGCGCGUAGGCGGCCCUGUAAGUCCGCUGUGAAAAGUCAAGGGCUCAACCCUGGGAUGCCGGUGGAUACUGUCGGGCUCGAGUCCGGAAGAGGAGUGUGGAAUUCCUGGUGUAGCGGUGAAAUGCGCAGAAUAUCAGGAGGAACACCCGUAGCGAAGGCGGCACUCUGGGCCGAAUACUGACACUGAGGGAGCGAAAGCGUGGGGAGCGAACAGGA
rnacentral:rRNA from 1 species